rnacentral:misc_RNA from 1 species
AUCUGACUCCACCAAUGACGAUCAGGAGGCGUUGGCCUCCGAGGUGGAGGGCUACAUGAAGGACGUGAUUCGAAUUUCCAACCGGCUCAAUGGAAAGAACAAUAACAAGAAAGAGGAAACUGAGAAGGAGGGCGGUGGCGAGGGACCAGACCUGCGGCGCAACCUGUUCCCGACUCCGUUCUCGUUCUUCGUGGGGAGUACGUUUGAGGGGGCGCCAAGGGAGCAGCAGGCACUACUGGAGCUGGAGGACACGGCGGCCCGGCUGAGGAGGGAGCGGGAUACGUUGCGGAACACACUCAACUAUCUGACCGCGGCAUCCGCAGUGAAGGAUGUGUUCCCAUCCUCGCCUUCGUCACCAUCGUCUUCGGCAUGAGUGUUACCGUGGGCAUAUAAACAAACUCUUCGGCGCUAGCUAGUGUUACCUGGGGCAUAUAA